UACGUAGGGGGCAAGCGUUGUCCGGAAUUAUUGGGCGUAAAGCGCGCGCAGGCGGUUCUUUAAGUCUGGUGUUUAAACCCGAGGCUCAACUUCGGGUCGCACUGGAAACUGGGGAACUUGAGUGCAGAAGAGGAGAGUGGAAUUCCACGUGUAGCGGUGAAAUGCGUAGAUAUGUGGAGGAACACCAGUGGCGAAGGCGACUCUCUGGGCUGUAACUGACGCUGAGGCGCGAAAGCGUGGGGAGCAAACAGG
rnacentral:rRNA from 1 species